rnacentral:lncRNA from 1 species
CUUAACAAGCCCCAUGGCCAAUUCCAAAAGAAACCAUCAACAAAGUAGUAACCUGCUACAUUGUCAUUUAAAGGCCGAGCCACUACCAUAUGCAAAUUAUAAGGUGGAGAGAUGGGAGAGCAAGAGAAGCUGAACAGUUUGAGCACCCUGAAGAGAGCUGGAACUGGAGAGAAAGGGUAGAGGGGAAUAGCCUGAUAUGAGAGUAGCCAUCCCUGCUCAAAAUGUAGACUUCUCAGCUCCUCCACACCAUGUCUGCCUGAAUGUUGCCUGCUUCCCACCAUGAAGAUAGUGGACUGGACCCCUGAACCUGGUCCCGAAGGUUGGCAGCCCAGGUUGGAUCCCAGGGACCUUGUCAGUCCACGUUUGGUUCCUUUGGCCCGGCAAGGAGAUAUGGAGCAGUUCUCAUGAAUGAAGAAGACACUGGUAGCCACUAACUAUUGACUCUGUUGUUCAUUUGGUUUAUAGCAUGGUAAUAUUCUCAUUAAAAUUUCUUAUUCUGUAUAUGG